rnacentral:rRNA from 1 species
AUACGUAGGGGGCGAGCGUUGUCCGGAAUGAUUGGGCGUAGAGGGCGCGUAGGCGGCUUUGCAAGUCAGUAGUGGAAGUCCAUUUUUCAAGGAUGGAAGUGCUACAGAAACUGCGGAGCUUGAGUGCAGGAGAGGUUAUCGGAAUUCCCGGUGUAGCGGUGAAAUGCGUAGAGAUCGGGAGGAACACCAGUGGCGAAGGCGGGUAACUGGACUGCAACUGACGCUGAGGCGCGAAAGUGUGGGGAGCAAACAGGAUUAGAUCCCCUGGUAGUCCACACUGUAAACGAUGAAUACUAGGUGUAGGGGGUAUCGACUCCCUCUGUGCCGCAGUUAACACAAUAAGUAUUCCGCCUGGGGAGUACGGCCGCAAGGUUGAAACUCAAAUGAAUUGGCGGGG